GGACUGGUAUUUCAGGUUUGACAAGGAUGUGAAAAAUCACAGCCCGUAGGCCAAACCCAGCCCUGAGGCCUGGUGAUGCCCAGAAGGAAAGAAGCUGAGUGGAAGAUGGCUCAGGAAGUAUGACUCCUGGCUAAUCCCUAGAGCAAAUCCAGCUUGCCACAAGCAGUGGGGACAGGCCAAAGGCUCCGAGCAAAGCGGCUUUCCGCUGCCCCUUGUCCUGGGAAUGUCGUCUGUAACCCAUUGUGUGAUGCUGUCUGCUUUCCGGCUCUGCAAAGACGGUGUCCUGUUGUGUUACUUGCUUCUUUGCUCAUCGUGAUCUUGGAUCUGGCCUUGGUGAAGGCUGUGAUUGCGUCCUGAUCUCUGGUGUGUAAUGCUCUUGGGGGUGGUGGUGCUGGUAACACCCCCUGUUGGCCGCCCUCCAUGUAUCGUACCUCAGCACCCACACUUUUAUGAACAGGCUGCCGUUUAGAAGCUGCAUCAGUACUGUUGUUAGGAGCAGGGUUUCCGAAGAUGACUCAAGAGGGCUCUAUGCCCCUCUCCCUUGACGUGCCUGAGGGGGCCUCCUGAGUUUCUUCCCAAAGGUCAUCUGCUGCUGCCUGGAGUCAGGGUUCCCACCGUAGGGACGAACCAGUGGAACCCUCCUGCGCAGCCCCACUGCAAGCACUGAAGCUGGUGUGUGUGGUUUACCACCUGUUGCCGUUUGUUGGGGCUAGCCAGAUGGCCAGGGAGAGGAGGCUGGCCAGCCACUCCAGGAGGGCCCGGGCAUGGCAUGAGCUGCAUGUAGAACCAUGUUCCUAGGAUGCCCUUUGGCUUUGCCAAGUCCAGAAAUAUGUGGAUGCUUCAGGAGCUUGCCCCACUGACUCCUGCUAAUGAAGCUCACCACAGACCAUUGUUGACACCCCAUGGCAACUUUCAUUUAUGAUGGAAGCCAUUCCCCCAGUGUCCUAUCCCUGGAGACCUGUUCCCAGUGUUAGGAUGCAUGCAACGCUGAAACCAUUAAGAGGUUGCUUGGUGAGUGUGGUUCUGGAACCAGAGAAGAGAAAAUCUUUAAAAGGUCAUCAUUCAGGCCCUGGAAAGGCUCUGAGGACUGUCUUGUUCCCAUUCUUGAGCCUGCCUCUCCAAGGCUGAGAAUAUCCACAUGUCCCAGAUCUGUGUCCUGUGCCCAGUUCUGGAAGAAGCUAACCAGUUCUGAGAAUUUCCAACGCCCAUCUCCAUGCAUGACGACCUUGCAAAGACUUUGGACACCAUAGUAACAACCAACCAAAUUUGGUUUUGGUUUAAGCUUGUGUGAUAGGAAUCCCUUAUCUUCAUGAGUGUUUUUUUCACAGUCAGAGUUCUGGGGACACUUUCCUGUUACCUUGUAUACCACCUGUCCUACCUUCUCCCGGAAAGGCAAAGAGUGAGCUUAGGAUAAAACACCCACCUGCACAUAUGAAAUAACAGCAACACAAAGAUCAGAAACUCCAUGGAUAUAGGCGAGAACACUGUCCCUGUCACCUAGUCAAGAGUGUACCUGGAAUGACGUGUAAGCUUCCUGGCAGACCAUGCACAAAAGUACAUACGUGGGGUGGUUUAAUUUGAAAAGUUGUUGGUUCACACUUCUGGAGCUUUAGGGAGCCAAUAGGGAACUAGGUGAGCACAAAGGGUCUGGUUGUUCCUACACAGCUAACAGUGGUGACAUUUUCAUUUCAAACACUUUACUAGCUAAUUCUCAUUCUGUGUGAAAGAGCCUCAAAAACACGGAAUCUACUUUUGUAAGGAAUUGUGACUGAUCUUUCCCUGGACAAGGCCACUAGCGUGCAGAGUUUCCACAGUUUAAUUCAACAAGCAUUGAUAAGCAUCUAUCGUGUGCCAGUGUUAGGUUCUGAGGAUACAAAAUUGUAUAAAAUGUGAUGCCAUCCCUCAAGGAACUUACAGUCCAAUUGGGAAAAAGGAGAAAGUCAGGGAUAGCUCUGUCGUUGGACUCAGAGGAGCACCGAGGCCUGAGGGAACCCUCAGGAAGUCCUCCUGCCAGCGGUAACCCCUGAGCCAAGCCUGGAAAAGUGAUUUCGGCUCUGGUCUGCUUGCCAAAGUGGUGAAUGUGUGACACCGAAGUUGGAGUUAGGAGCCCUGGAUCUGAUUUCCAUCCCUGUAAUUGAUCUGCUCUGUGACCUUGUGAAAGUCCUCUUUCCUCUCUGGACGUCAGUUAAUUCCCAGGUUAAAUGUGGGAGGAAGGAAGAUCACUAGCGUUCUACAGUAUGAUGGGGCUUGAGAAAGCCUCCACUGGGAAGGAAGACGAAACUCGUGGGAAUACACGAUUAAAAUAAGUGGGAAAUAAGUGUGCUGUGCCAGGUACUUCGGAAAGGAUGAAAGCACCGGCUACGCCCCAGGAACACACCAGCGAAAAGCCAGCGCGGAAACCAGUGCCUUGGCAGGUCUGAAGGAACGCUCAGGUCUUUCUCAGGAAGCAGAAGUUUUCUUCUGCAAAGCUUGCAGACCGGGUUAGGGACCCGAGGGGCCUGCGCUCCAGGGGGCGGGGCCCGCGCGGACGCCCCGCGCUCUAAGGGGAGGGGUGGGCCCGGCGCGCGCGGCGGCAGCCAAUGAGAGAGUCUCCCGAUGAGGUCAUGGCGUUCCUCGGCGCUCCAUUGGCGGACCGCCCCCCCACCCCCCGCGGGGCCUGGGCGCUGACCUCCAGACCGGACCCCGGGCCGGGAGGGCGCGCCCCGAGCUUUCUCCCAGUAUUUAAGGGUGCUGAGCAGCGAACCACGCCAGGAGUGGGUCCCCGUCUCCUCCUGCAGGGAGAAAUGAAAAUGCCCAGAAAAAAAGAGCUCUUAUGAGAAAACCCUCAUCUUCUCCGGUGACAGUGGAAGGUUGGUUUUUGUGCUGCUGCAAUCCAAACACACUGAUUAACGAGCCAUUUUAACCAUUUAAGGACACUGAGCAGACUUCCAAUGGCUGGCCACCUUUUUAUUUCCCCGCGGUGACACUCAAGGCUGGAACAAAGACAUUUCUGUUUUGAAACAUUUUAAAACCGUGAUUCUCAAACCCAUUUCUGAUGUUUUGAAACAUUUUAAAACCGUGAUUCUCAGGUGUACAGAGGGAUCCAGAAUGGGCUUGCAUCUGCCAGGCCCUACCCCUGGCUCCAGUCCUGCUGGCUCUGAAACGGGCAGGUUGAAGAAGCUGGCAGGGCCAGGGAGCUGGACCCCGCUUUGGGAACCAAAGCACUGAAAACAUCCUCAGAACUUGUUAGAAAUGCCCAUUUUGAGGCCGUGCAGCCAUCUUGUUUUUGCCAAACCCUCCAGGUAGCUCUGGUGCUCACUUAGGUGUGAGAACUGAUCUAAAUCAGCUCCUCCUGAACUUUGAGACUGCUUCAGAGCAGCGUGGAUUCUGCACUCUCAGAAUCAGGUCGGGGAGAGGGUCCCCUAGUCCAGUCCCAUCUUGGGGAGGUAACUUUGGGGUGCUUUUCCCAUUCUCACCAUGGAACUCCUGGAGCCCAGCUCAGGUCCUGGCAUCUGCCAUGGUUUGGGCUACAGUGAUUGGACCAACGAUGCAUAUGUGACCGGUGCUUUCCUGGAAAAUGAUUGAGACAGUCCCUGCAAGUGAGUCGACUAAGGGUGAACUUGGUACCCAAGGGCAAUCCUGUUGUGCCGUGUGGCCGGGGCAGCAGAGGAAACCAGUCUGCAGAAGGAACAGUGAAGCAGACACAUAGGCCCCAAGAGGGGAGGUGGGAAAGAAUCCACGCCAAGAUGCCCUCCAGGCCCUGCACUGCCAGGCCCUGCUUCCCUCUGGGACUUAAUGCAGGCCACCAGCUCUGGCUGAUCGAGCUCCGGACACAUUAGUCUACAAGCCCAAGCACAACCUAUUCCCAUCAGAGGUUUGGUGCACGUUGUUCCCUCUGGCUGGAACUCUUACCCCUAUCUCUCCCAUGCUGCCUCAUUCCCAACAAUCAGGAAUGUUCUUAAAUGACACCUCCUCAGGGAGUGACGCUCUAUACGGGCCCCUCCUGCAGCCACACUCUAUCACAUCAGCCGGCUUUCUCAUGUCUUCAUCGCAUGUGACAUCUUUCAUGCACUCACAGGUGCUUACCAGGUCACCAUAAAUGUCUUGACAGCAGAGAUCCCAGGGCUUUGUUCAUCACCAGAUCCCAGGGCCUUAAAGUGGCCUGACACGUGGAGGGGUAGCUCAGUCAAUGUUAGUUGAAAAGAUCACUUUCCCAACCUUCCUGAGGUCAGCUGCUUCCAGCCCUCAGGUGGCAGGAAUCCCCCCAGCCUAUGUUCUCUGAUCACAAGAAGCCAUGUGGAUUCCUAAUGUUUGCCACCCAAGGACUCCAGAGGGGUUCGCCCUUGCUUUGCAGAAAGAAAAUUGAGACCUAAGUGACUUGCCCAGCAUUAUGUGGCCAGUCAGUGGGACAGCAAGGACAAGAGAACUAAGCUCUCAGGCCACUUCUCUGUCCCCAGAGUACUCCCCCCUCCCCCUUCAUGAUCUUGGGUCACUCCCCACAGCAAAGCAGUCGGGUCAACCUCAGGCCUUUUGCCUCCUCGCAUAAGCUUUUAAUAAAUCAGUUUCAUUUUCAAAAUACUGCUCUGCAUAGUGGUCAGCAGAAAGAUGCUGUCGGCACUGUCCAUCACAGGAAGUUAUUUUCUGAUGAACUAUAGUGGGAUGGAUGGUUUGAAACUCACUGUUGCUGCAAGAGCAUGACAGAUGUCACAUUGAUCCUCACUCCACCCAGAUUUCUCUUUUGAGGAUGUAUAUUUCUGGGUAUUUAUCCAAAGAAAACAAAAAUACUAAUUUGAAAAGAUGUCUGCACCCCCAUUUUCAUUACAGAAUUAUUUACAGGAGCCAAGAAAUGGAAUCAGCCUAAGUGUCCACAGACAGAUGUCUAGAUAAAGAAGAUAUGGUAUAUGUACAUAAUGGAAUAUUACUCAGCCAUAAAAAAGAGAAUGAAGUCUUGCCAUAUGCCAAGCAUAGAUGGACUUUGGUGGUAUUAUGCUCAGUGAACGUCUGGUUUACUGCAGUCCAGGGAAGCAGAGCCUUUGGCCCAGAGGAAACAGUUGUAACUGCUGUGUGCAGAACACCUUUCUAAGGAGCUAACCAGGUGACGGCACCUUGCACUUGACCUAGGACCUCAGCAGAUAUGUGUUGAGUAGCUGUGAUGGCCUGAGUGGCGGUUGUCCAGCUCAGAGAUCCUGCUGGCUUGGGAAGGCCAGGAGCAGGAAGACUGCAGUUGGAUGCCCUCACGGCAGGUAUUUAUCCAGCGAUAAAUGGUCAUCUGUCAUCCUUUGUGACCUUUAUCUCCUUCCUCCAUCUGGGGAAUCCCUCACCUGAUGAGGGAGAGUCAUCCUCCCCCCAGAGAGGUUGGGCAUGUUGGGCACUCACCAUGCCCGACUCCUGCGUGGCCACAGCGAGGGUGGGUAACCUGGGCCCCGAUGGGCAGACACCUCGGCCUGUGGCAGCAUCCCAGUCCAGCCAAGGUUGUUGUGGCAGCUGUGGGUGGCGCUGGCCCGGGUGCCCCCCUGUGUCUGCGCCCAGCAGUGGUGGCCGUGGUCUCUCCUCUCCAGACCAGUCCUGAAGAGGAUUUCUGGCCUACGACCAGGGCUCCCCAGCUUCUGUCCUGGUCACUGUCAUCCCAGAGAUUGUGAGCCACCUGGGAUUAAUUCUGUUGACGUCUAAAGCAGCGAGAGUUGAUUUCUGUAGAGAGCAGGACUGAGGGAGGAGGCUUCCAGAAGGGGGUGGGGGCAGGUGCUGGAGGAGCAAGAAGAGGGCGAGGGCGCCCAGGCAGAGGAAGUGGCAUUUGGGCAGGGAGAGGUACUGUAGCACUGUUGUCCUUGACACCAAGUCACAGGUGAUGAGGAGGGAAGUAAGUCACCUGGAAGCAGGCCUAUCCUCCAGCGCCUCACUCGGGGUCCGGAGGGUCACGGGCUGGAGGGUUUUCCUGCAAGUCUGGCUGCUUUUCCUUUGCUGCUUUUUGAGCCUUUCCUUCAAGAACACCGAUUGGGGCCCCCAGGGGGCUCAAUGGUUGAGUGUCUGCCUUCGGCUCAGGGCAUGAUCCCGGGGUCCUGGGAUCCAGUCCCACAUCGGGCUCCCCAUGGGGAGCUUGCUUCUCCCUCUCUGUGUGUGUGUGUGAUGAAUAAAUAAAUACAAU